AUUGAACGCUGGCGGCAGGCCUAACACAUGCAAGUCGAGCGGAUGAAGGGAGCUUGCUCCUGGAUUCAGCGGCGGACGGGUGAGUAAUGCCUAGGAAUCUGCCUGGUAGUGGGGGAUAACGUCCGGAAACGGGCGCUAAUACCGCAUACGUCCUGAGGGAGAAAGUGGGGGAUCUUCGGACCUCACGCUAUCAGAUGAGCCUAGGUCGGAUUAGCUAGUUGGUGGGGUGAAGGCCUACCAAGGCGACGAUCCGUAACUGGUCUGAGAGGAUGAUCAGUCACACUGGAACUGAGACACGGUCCAGACUCCUACGGGAGGCAGCAGUGGGGAAUAUUGGACAAUGGGCGAAAGCCUGAUCCAGCCAUGCCGCGUGUGUGAAGAAGGUCUUCGGGUUGUAAAGCACUUUAAGUUGGGAGGAAGGGCAGUAAGUUAAUACCUUGCUGUUUUGACGUUACCAACAGAAUAAGCACCGGCUAACUUCGUG
rnacentral:rRNA from 1 species